CUUGUUCCCUGGUAUCACUCUCCUCCUGUUGUUUUUAAAGCGGUGUGGAUGAGGACACUCACCAGCCUCUCCGUAAUGUGCACACGUGUUCCUGUGCCUUCAGCAGCUUCUCCUGGGCUUUCCUCCUGCUCCACUUAAUUAGGCACCGAGGGAGAGGGACAGUAACCAACAAUUAGGAACAGAGAACUUGAGAUGCUGAGCCAAAUGCUGAGCUCCUGGAGAAGACAAAAGGGGAUGGGGGAUCUGACUGUGCCCAGGUCCAUAUUCCCUCCACCUGAGGUCCCUGGAUAUGAGACUCCCAUCCCUGCUGGUGUGGAUAGGAGAGUUACUGAUUGCUGCUGUUGAGCUCUGCCUCGCAGGGAAACCCCUGGUGGGGUGGAAGAUCCUGUACCUGCCAAAUUUUUCCCUGGAAAUGCGAUAUGAAAUGAUCCACUGAACUGGUCCCGUGCCUGGCUGUCACUGCUGGCACCUCUGACUGCACUCAUCCGCUGGGCUGAGUCCCAACUGUCCAUGCAUGAUGCCACCAGCAAAUGAGUGACAAGGGGCACAGGUCCAGCCGUGCAGAACGAGAGAGGCGCUGGGGGAAGGCUGGAGGAGAGGAGUCUGUCCGGGUGAGACGCAUCGAUCGCCUGUUAUCUGAUACAUUAUUCAUAACCAACCUGGGCUGCAGCUCAGGAGAAAGUGGUGAGCAUGCACUUCUCCUUGGGAAAUAUGCCCGUGAGAGAUGAAAAGCCCUGGGCUCCAGUUCAUCAAACACCCUGCUAGGCAGUCACAACACACCAGCCUCCUUUAGGCUUUUUGUGCCCACAUCCACCAGUGCUCCUGGCACCAAAGACAGGCCAGUGAGUCCCAGCACCCCCUGUCACAUUGUACCAGGGAGUGUUUUUGUCCAGAACUGGUCUCUAAGGACAGAGUAGCUUUUCUGUGCAGGGACACCCCAGUCCUUGUCACAAACAUAUGUGACUCCACCUCGACCAGCAAGUGAAGGAUGUUCUGCUUCCCAGCCUGGACAUGAGCACAACACUCAGCAGCAAGGGGUGUGGGCCCCGUCAUACUUCCCCAGGGUGACAUAAUGGUGACAGAGAGGAAGGCAUGGGCACACAAUGAGGACAUGGCCUCACACUGGGUGUCAUUCAGUGUAGAAGUCCCAGCCUGGAUGGUGCAGUCGCAGGGCUGGUCACAUCUGGAAGACUUUGGAGAGGAUACUAAGGAAGGGACCUUUCUCCCAAAAUGUCCAAGCAACCAGUGCACCUGGAGAACGCAUCCCUGGCCAGCUGGGGUUUCUGUGAGAACCAGAUCUGUUCCAGUGGGGUUCAACAUUCACAUGGACUUCAGCCCAGCUGUCUGGGGGAGCCAUGGUCAGGGCAGCAAGGCACCCGUGGGA